rnacentral:rRNA from 1 species
ACCACGCAAAGGUAUUGAAAUAAGAUUUUAAAUGAGUGCUAAGAGAAUGGAUGAAUGAGGAUAAGCUUUUUUUAAAAAAAAAAUUGAAUUUAAAUUAAAAAUAAAAAUGUUUUUAUGAAUUUAUUAGACAAGAAGACCCUAAAAUCUUUAAUUAUAUAAAAAAAGUAAUUUUAAUUGGGGCAAUUGAGAAAUAAUAAAUAAUUUUAUUAAGAAAGUUUUUAAAAAUUUGAUAAGAUACUUUAGGGAUAACAGCGUAAUUAUUAUGGAGAGUUCAUAUUGAUAUAAUAGUUUGCGACCUCG